AUUGAACGCUGGCGGCAGGCCUAACACAUGCAAGUCGAGCGGAUGAAGGGAGCUUGCUCCUGGAUUCAGCGGCGGACGGGUGAGUAAUGCCUAGGAAUCUGCCUGGUAGUGGGGGAUAACGUCCGGAAACGGGCGCUAAUGCCGCAUACGUCCUGAGGGAGAAAGUGGGGGAUCUUCGGACCUCACGCUAUCAGAUGAGCCUAGGUCGGAUUAGCUAGUUGGUGGGGUAGGGGCCUACCAAGGCGACGAUCCGUAACUGGUCUGAGAGGAUGAUCAGUCACACUGGAACUGAGACACGGUCCAGACUCCUACGGGAGGCAGCAGUGGGGAAUAUUGGACAAUGGGCGAAAGCCUGAUCCAGCCAUGCCGCGUGUGUGAAGAAGGUCUUCGGAUUGUAAAGCACUUUAAGUUGGGAGGAAGGGCAGUAAGUUAAUACCUUGCUGUUUUGACGUUACCAACAGAAUAAGCACCGGCUAACUUCGUG
rnacentral:rRNA from 1 species